GCGGUGAAGGAGCUGCUGCUCUCGGUCAAAGGAGUGAAGGCCACUCAUGACCUGCACCUCUGGGCCCUGACCCUCAGCCACCACAUGGUGGCCGUCCACCUGGCCAUUGAGCCCGGUGCGGACACGGAGGCCGUGCUGCAGGAGGCCACCGCCCUUCUCCAGAGCAGGUUUGGCUUCUUCUCCUGCACCAUCCAGGUGGAGCGCUACCAGGAAGACAUGGCCGCCUGCCGCCAGUGCCAGGACCCUCGGGACUGAGGCCGGGACCACCCACUCACCCACCCUCGGCGCCUGCACUGCCAGCCUCCUGCUGCCCAAGGGGGGGGGUCCACCCGUGUUCGGCCAGAGCGUGCGGAGGAGCCCCCCACUGAAGAGAGGGGCGGACCGGCCCCCUCCCAUCUUCGUGCCACAUUCCAGCCAGACGGAGGGAGGCCGCCGACGCUUCCCUUGCCCAUCUCUGCCUCAGUGUCUUUAAUGUGCCUGCUGAGGGAUCCGGGCCUCCAGCGGUCAAGGAGAGGCCGCCCUGACCCUCGGCCAGGCCGCCUCCUCCUCUUGUAUCUGUCUCUGCAUGUGUGUGUGCGUGUGUGUGUCAUGCUAGCAGCAAACACUUGCACUAUGGAUGUCUUUUUUUGGUCCAGGAAGGGAGGUUGGAAGGAAGACCCUCCCAAAAGGGUGACCCGAGCGACCCUCUGCCCGGUCUCCAGGCACUGUCCACUCUUUCCUCUUCCCAGCCAGGAGCCCAAGCUGCCUUUUGUGUGUCACGCUAAGUAACAGCAAACACUUGCACCAUGGAUGUCUAUUUUGGAGAGGGGUCCAGGAAGGGGGAUGGAAGGAAGACCCUCCCCAAAAGGGUAGCCCGAGCGACCCUCUGCCCGGUCUCCAGGCCACUGUCCACUCUUUCCUCUUCCCAAGCUGCCCUUUGGUGUGUCAUGCCAACCAACAGCAAACACUUGCACCAUGGAUGUCUUUUCUGGAGAGGGGUCCAGGAAGGGGUCUGGAAGGAAGACCCUCCCAAAAGGGUGGCCCAAGGGACCCAGGUCUCCAGGCCACUGUCCACUCUUUCCUCUUCCCAGCCCUUUCCCUGUCUGUCUCUGCAGCAUACCCCAAUCCGAUCUAAGGGGGACCCCCAGGAAAAGGCCCCUCAACAGACUGUCCUCUCUGGCAUGAAAAUGCCUAGUGGUGUCCCCUGCCCUGCAGAGGGUUGCUGGGCCCCUUUGACCCCCUCUGGGGGAUGGCAGUGGGUGGGGAGGGGUGGCCAAGCCCACCUUCUGGUAACCAAGCCCAAGACCAAGCCAGCCUGCAGAGGAAUGCUCUUGGCAUGGAAGGAGGAGGCCCCAGAAGUGUAGCAGCAAGCCCAGGUGUGCAUCAUGGGGGUGCCGGCCAGCGGCAGGUGGUCCCCUGUGAGGUGUGGUGCUCCUGGGCCCCCGACCCAGCCUCCCACCAACAGUGGCGGGGAAGGCCGCUGCAACGCUCUGCACCAGGGAGGAGCGCGCAUGCCACGCCUUGUGUCCGUGACCUUGUGGAGUACAUGUGUGUCUCUGUCUCGUCUCUCUCUCUCUCGUGUGCCAUGUGUACCAGUGAACCCAAUAAAGCAAUGUGCCUCAAACCAAA